rnacentral:lncRNA from 1 species
GUCCUUCCAUAAAAUCAGAUGACCAAGGCUGACGCCUUUAGGAGAAAUGGGUAAGGAUGUUUGAAUUUUACUCUUUCUGCACCUCAGACCUUGUUGGAGCACUUUGUAUGGAUGCCCAUUUACAGUAUCUGCAAAAUGACCAGAAUUUCAAUUAAUAAAUAAAUAGAAAGGUUGAUCAAAGUCACAUGUUUGAAUUUGCAUAUAAACUCAUCCAUGCACACCAGUUAGCAAGCUUGGAACAUAAAAUUUAAGAUAUUACCAGCGUCUAAAAGUUUUAGAUGCACCCAAAACUUUACACAUGGGUAUGAAAAAAUGCUGUAAACUAAGAAUGCUUAUAAGAAAUUGGAAGUGUUCAUACUUUAUUUUUAUCAAUUAACAAAAUGCCCUGAACGAACAGAAGCGAAAUCUAAAUCAAAUCAAUAUCUCUCCACCCCAGCAGAGUUGGUCUGUUUCUCAUCCAGUUUUAAGCCUCAGCUGUUUAUGUUUUAGUUAUUGACUGUGUUUCAAUCUACAUGUGACAUUGAUGAGCAUUAGCACGUCUGGUAUAAUUGGUUGAUCAUACAUCUGACUACAAUCCAACAAAUCCCUGACUUUUUGCAAGUGCACCUAUAGGAAUGCUGGUUUGAAGGCAAAGGGCUGUAACACCAAAUAUUGAUGUGAUUUAGAUUUUCAUUUUGUAAAUUGAUCAAAAAUAAACAAUCAGUAUUUAUAUAUUUGUAAGUAUUCUUAGUUUUUAGCAUUUUUGCACCUGCCUAAAACUUUUGCACUGUACUGUAUGUCCUAACAUAAUGUAGUUGCAAGCAUUGAGUGACUUACAGUGUUUUUACCUGGUGAUGAGUGGUUCAUACAAUCAGAUAACUGCACACUUCAUGGCUGAGAGAGAUAAGAACCGAAACCAUGAUUGAAGAACUUCUUCCACACAACCCUAAAAAAAAAAAAAACCUUUGUAGAAAAUUUCAAGUUCACCUCCAUAGCUGGUUCCAACCCUGGACUCCUGAUGGCAAUGGGCUAACAGCUGCUUGUAUGAGUCCAUUUGUUUUCCAUAAAAAAAUAUUGAAGCUCCAAUGAGGCCUUUUUUUUUUGGUGUUUAUAGAAUAGACAAUAGACAUGCCUUUAUAUGAUAAAAUCAGAUAAGAUCAUUAGCACCAAGAUUGAUGUUUUUUUAUACUGUAAUCUUUUAUGCUAGAAAUUUCUGAAAGGGGGUAGGUGUCAGCUAAGCAACUGGAGAAACAGCCCUAUUUUUACAAUUUCCACAAGAAAAUAUUCACAAUUAGUUAUACAUGGGGGAAAGAAAAUCAUAGGCUGCUUUGUCCACUGGGGUUGCCAAAGUUGACACAAACUGAAAGUUUCUCACAGUGGCUUUAAGGUUUGUACUUGGGCUGCUGUAAUGUAAAAAAAACAAAACAAAAACAAACAAACAUUGAAAUUGUGCAAAAAAUUAGCAUAAAAUAAUACUAAAUAGAAGUCAUUUCCAUCAGUUGCCACAUGAUAUAAAAAAGAGGACUGGACAUGGGAGAAGUAGCAGACAGCUAGCAAGGUAGCUAGCUUCAGCAGCACACUAAAAGAUGAUUAGGCACCUCUAAAAAUUUGUAUUUAGGAUUUAUUUUGAAUCUAAAAAUAACGUUUGAGCCAUUGCCUCUUUGAUUUAUUCAUCUUUAAGCAGUUUUCAUACAGUUCUGUAUCUGUAGACUAGGUCCUCUCUGAAAAAAUCUUGGUCACAGGCUUGAUGAUAAAUUAUACAUUUGAAAAUAAUUUGAAUGUAAGUUCAUUUUGUUAAUUAGUCAAGUUUUUCUGUGGAGGUAGGAUUCAGGGAAUCGUUGAUAGCUCAUAGAAUAUAUACAAAUGUGUAUCAGUAAGGAAGCAAACUGAUGACCUAUUCUCGAUGUAUAAAGAGGAAGUGGGAUUAAAUAAAAUGUGUCUCUUCUCACCUCUUUUAAAAAUGCAAGCCUAAUCAUUGGGUGUUUUUCUAUGUCUCUUUCUUUCUUUCUAAAAUUAUUUUGCCUUAGUUUUCUGUCUUUCUUUUUUGCAUGUUCCAAAGUAACAUUUCAAUAGUCUUGGGGUAAAAAAAAACUGCAAUCAUGACAGCUCCACUAUUAUUUUAACAGAAAAUAUUUUUUUGUUAGUGAUGAAAAUGCAUAUCCAUCUUUCAGGUACAUCUAAUUCAUCAGGGACACUAGAUUAAUGUGGUUUAUAGAAGGUGAACCUUAGAGAAACAUCAUGUUAUAAUCAGUAGUCAUUCAUGGUGUUGUAGUUUUGGAUAAGUGGAGCCGUAUAGCAGUGUGAACUAUAGCACACCAUUUGAUGAGUGUAAUAACUGUAACUAAAUCCCUUGGAGUAUUUAUUAGUGAGUCAGAGCGUUUGAGCAUGAGCUGUUCAGAUGGGACACAGGGUGAGAACGUAAUGUGAGACUUUGUUUUCGCACUGCUCAGCUGACCUUGGCUCUGAUGAUCUGCUUGGAGACAGAGGAGAGGGGAAUCAUCAGAAGGAUGAAACACAGGAGGGCUGCAGGUUUAUCUCUCUCUUAAUACAGUGUCACAUCUUGUUUGAAUAAAAAUUCUCAUCAGGCAUGGACAGGCCAUUGGGCGUACCGGGCAAUGGGGCGG